rnacentral:lncRNA from 1 species
AACACCUGGAGAUGAAGACAAGGAAGAUGUCAGUUUCUACAUUAAGUAACAAACUAGAAAGAAAACAACUUUUUUUCUCCUUCACAAAAACAUACCAAAUGGGAACUGCGCAACCAUCUUUGGAGAUGUGAGAGGCUCUGAAAUGCCAAAUCGGUUUUCAGCACGGACCCGGAAGAUGUACUCCUGGCCUGGGAUCAGCUUUCCAACCCUGCAGGAAGUUUUUGUGACUGAAGCUAGAGCCGUGACCCAGUCACCUCGGCUUACAUCACACUUCUCCACUAUAUAAUUGGUGAUGUUACUGCCUCCGUCCUCCAGAGGGAUGUGCCAUGACAGGGAGCAAGCAUCAGCGUCUAUAUCAGAAAUGUCAAAUGGAGGCUGAGGGGGGCCGGGGGCAUCUACAUGAACCAAGAGGAAAGAAAUAGAAUAGACGCCUUGAUGGCUCCUCUGGCAGUUCUUGAUGACCAUGGAUGAGCUAAUGGCUGUGGUCUCAAUGGUGGCUUCUUGAGUUACAUCUUUGAGAGGGGUGAGGAAUUUGAGCCGGAUUCCUAUCAAGAAAAAAAAGAAAGAA